CAGGUUCGUGUCAAUGGAAGCUUCGUACAUGUUGAAAAUCGAACAGAUUCAAGAGGAGCUGGACAAUGUACAGGAAAAGGAAGAACUGGAAACCCUUCAGCAAUCAACACAGCAGGAGCGCAGAGACCAAGAUCCGUCCUCCUGCAAGAAUGAAUUGGCUGAGCUAAGACAUGGACCUCUUCCUGUCAGACCAGCGCCCAGGAAGUACACCAUUAGUUUGGA